ACCACAACUAAUAAAGACUACAAAAUACUGUAGGACAGCCCAUUUUUCUACUAUGUAAAUUCAGCUUCCUGAGCAGAACAUUUCUGCUUUUCUUGUAGUAUUUCAGAAAAUGUUAAUCUUGGUUCCCACAUUAGGCUGAAUGCUUCCAAAUUAAAAGUUUCCCACAGGAAAAGAAUUUCACAGGGAAUUGUGAGGCUGGGAAUUAUCUUCUGAAGCUCCACCUCACUUGGUUUCCAUGCAUUUCGGUUUUUCAACACUACCCCCCAUAUGAAUAAAGCAAUAAACACACACUGAUUUUAAUAAAUUCAAACCAGAAAGAAGCUGCCGUGGUAUACACUUCAAAACUGUUAAUAAUUCAUAGCACUGUUCAUCUUCAUCAGAAACUAUGAAAUCAGUAACCAUUGCAAUGGGAAACCAUGCUUUAUUUACACAAGAAUUUGCAAACACCCUUAUCUUCCAGUUUAUAGUCUGGGCUCAUUUAUCAAAGCUCAAAAGCUGAACUGAGUGCCUAGCCUCUUCAAUCAUCACUUGAAAGAGUGGACAAGGGCACACAAACAGCAUUGGAAGACUUCUGUUGCUGCCAUAACAGAAGGUGGUCUUUCCUGUCUUCUAGCAUACAAUCCGUACCUUUACCAGAUUUCACUGAGUGGACCCUGAGAAAGCAUCUACUUGUGAUUAAAAUAUGGCAAACGUAUUCUAAAUACAUGAGUUUACAAAAAGCACCCUUCAGAGUAACAGGCAAAAACAAAUGAGUUAAACCAGUUGUCCCCAAACAUUGUA
rnacentral:lncRNA from 1 species